AUCUGGUGGCACAUGCGCUACAAAUCCAAUUUGGGUGGACGCCAUUUUUAGUAGCGAGUAUAUUUUGUGCUAGGUAGAGGUAGCGUAGUGAUCGGUAUUGGCAGAAUUUAGUCUUGAAAGAGGAAUUUGGUAAGGGUGUAUUGGACAGUUAUGGCUCCCAACGGGAAAGUUUUGUCGAAAACCCCUCUAGUUUUCGAAGAUCGUAUCAAGAAUGUGUUUUCACUAAACUGAGGAAAUGUUGGACAGGAUAUGGAAAGACCUGAAAAAAAUCUACACAGGCAUCAAAAACAAUAUAGGGAAGACUAGAACGGGUAGAAUUUACUAGGAAUAUUAUCACUAGAUUGAUGGAAUACAUAGGGAGGACAAAACAGUUAACCUCCCGAACCUAAUACCUCUACAACAGUUCCUGGCAGAUCUUCAAUCUUCUAAUCUUCAGUGGUAGUGAAAACAACAUUACAAGUUAUAAAGAAGCCUCGCAGAGAAUAACCAGCAGUAAUCAGUUUUUAAAAAGAAUAUAAGGCACAGUAACAUAUUGUCAACAAGUGCUUCUGAUUUAAAUUUUGUUUAGAAUUUACAGUUAAUGAAAUUUUUGCUUUAGUUAUUCUACUAAUAAUUAAAAAUAGAUUAAUGUAUUGUAAAUGAACAUUU